rnacentral:rRNA from 1 species
AACGAACGCUGGCGGCGUGCCUAACACAUGCAAGUCGUGCGAGAAAGUUCCUUCGGGAGCGAGUAAAGCGGCGCACGGGUGAGUAACACGUAGGUAACCUGCCCCCCAGUCUGGAACAACUAGAGGAAACUCUAGCUAAUGCCGGAUGAGACCACGAUCCCUUCGGGGGUUGCGGCCAAAGAUGGCCUCUACUUGUAAGCUAUCGCUGAGGGAUGGGCCUGCGGGCCAUUAGCUUGUUGGUGAGGUAACGGCUCACCAAGGCUGUGAUGGCUAGCUGGUCUGAGAGGAUGACCAGCCACACUGGGACUGAGACACGGCCCAGACUCCUACGGGAGGCAGGCAGUAAGGAAUAUUGCGCAAUGGACGAAAGUCUGACGCAGCGACGCCGCGU